AGUGAACGCUGGCGGUAUGCCUAACACAUGCAAGUCGAACGGCAACACAGUAAGAGCUUGCUCUUACCGGUUGCGGGUGGCGUACGGGUGACGAAUGCAUCGUAAUCUACUUUUUCGUGGGGGUUAACGUAAGGAAACUUACUCUAAUACCGCAUACGCCCUACAGGUGAAAGCAUGGGAUCUUCGGACCUUUCGCGAAUGAAUGAGCCGAUGUCGGAUUUGCUAGUUGGCGGGGUAAACGCCCACCAAGGCGACGAUCCGUAGCUGAUGGGGGUGGAUGGUCAGCCACCCUGGAACUGAAACAGGGUCCAGAGUCCUACGGGAGGGAGCAGACGGGAAUGUUGGACAGCAGGCGCGAGUCUGAUCCAGCGAUAGGGAGCGGGUGGAGGAGGCCUUGGGUUUGUAAAGCCGUUCUGCUGGGAAAGAAACGCUGCAGGUUAAUACGCAGCGGUUCUGACGGUAACCAAAGAAUAAGCACCGGCUAACUACGUG
rnacentral:rRNA from 1 species